rnacentral:rRNA from 1 species
UACGGAGGGUGCAAGCGUUAUCCGGAUUCACUGGGUUUAAAGGGUGCGUAGGCGGACAGGUAAGUCAGUGGUGAAAUCUCUGGGCUUAACCCAGAAACUGCCGUUGAUACUAUUUGUCUUGAAUAUCCUGGAGGUAGGCGGAAUAUGUCAUGUAGCGGUGAAAUGCUUAGAUAUGACAUAGAACACCGAUAGCGAAGGCAGCUCACUACACAGCCAUUGACGCUGAGGCACGAAAGCGUGGGGAUCAAACAGG